rnacentral:rRNA from 1 species
AGUUCGAGAGAGGUGAGUGGAAUUCCGAGUGUAGAGGUGAAAUUCGUAGAUAUUCGGAGGAACACCAGUGGCGAAGGCGGCUCACUGGCUCGAUACUGACGCUGAGGUGCGAAAGUGUGGGGAGCAAACAGGAUUAGAUACCCUGGUAGUCCACGCCGUAAACGAUCAUCACUCGCUGUUGGCGAUAUACUGUCAGCGGCCAAGCGAAAGUAUUAAGUGAUGCACCUGGGGAGUACGCCGGCAACGGUGAAACUCAAAGGAAUUGACGGGGGCCCGCACAAGCGGUGGAGCAUGUGGUUUAAUUCGAUGAUACGCGAGGAACCUUACCAGGGCUUAAAUGUAGUAUGACCGGCUUGGAAACAGGCCUUCUCUUCGGAGCAGAUUACAAGGUGCUGCAUGGUUGUCGUCAGCUCGUGCCGUGAGGUGU